UACGUAGGGUGCAAGCGUUGUCCGGAAUUUAUUGGGCGUAAAGAGCUCGUAGGUGGCCUGUCGCGUCGGCUGUGAAAACUCGGGGCUCAACUCCGAGCUUGCAGUCGAUACGGGCAGGCUAGAGUUCGGCAGGGGAGACUGGAAUUCCUGGUGUAGCGGUGAAAUGCGCAGAUAUCAGGAGGAACACCGGUGGCGAAGGCGGGUCUCUGGGCCGAUACUGACGCUGAGGAGCGAAAGCGUGGGGAGCGAACAGG
rnacentral:rRNA from 1 species